UACGUAGGGACCGAGCGUUGUCCGGAAUCAUUGGGCGUAAAGAGCGUGUAGGCGGCUUGCUAAGUCUUGCGUGAAAUCUCGGGGCUCAACCCCGAGCGGUCGUGGGAAACUGGCCGGCUAGAGUGCGGGAGAGGAGAAUGGAAUUCCUGGUGUAGCGGUGAAAUGCGCAGAUAUCAGGAAGAACACCCGUGGCGAAGGCGGUUCUCUGGAACGCAACUGACGCUGAGACGCGAAAGCGUGGGGAGCAAACAGG
rnacentral:rRNA from 1 species